UCUUUCAGAUGGACAUCCUCAAGAUGCAUAGACAGUUCUGUAAACUGCCGUUGCUUGCUAAAAUUUCUAUCUUUCCGGUGUCUGUAGUUACUCUGAUGGGUAUCGGCGCUCUGAUUGCUCAUGAGAGAAAUCAACUCGUGAAAUAUCUCCAAAAACGGUUUGUCUUCUUCCCUUGAAACUUCAAUAGAUUCUUUUCUCUUUAUCUAUUGGUCUCACCUUGUAUCAGGUGGAUAGUUAAAUAUCUCACC